UGGGAUGUAGCUCAGUUGGUAGAGUACUAGCCUUGCAUGCACAAGGUCCUGGGUUCAAUUCCCAGCAUCACAA
rnacentral:tRNA from 1 species